GAUGAACGCUGACAGAAUGCUUAACACAUGCAAGUCGAUGGGGAAGUGGUGCUUGCACCAUGGUAACCAUGGCGGACGGGUGAGUAACGCGUAAGGAACUUGCCUGCGGGACUGGGAUAACAGCAGGAAACUGCUGAUAAUACCGGAUAAGGUCAUUAAGCUGCAUAGCUUAGUGAUGAAAGGAGACGCCUGCGGAGAGCCUUGCGUCCUAUUAGCUAGUUGGAGGGGUAACGGCCCACCAAGGCGAAGAUAGGUAGCCGGCCUGAGAGGGUGGACGGCCACAAGGGGACUGAGAUACGGCCCUUACUCCUACGGGAGGCAGUAGUGGGGAAUAUUGGACAAUGGGGGCAACCCUGAUCCAGCAAUUCUGUGUGCACGAAGACGGUUUUCGGAUUGUAAAGUGCUUUCAGCAGGGAAGAAGGAAGUGACGGUACCUGCAGAAGAAGCGACGGCUAAAUACGUG
rnacentral:rRNA from 1 species